AUACGGAGGGUGCAAACGUUGCUCGGAAUUAUUGGGCGUAAAGCGCGCGUAGGCGGCUUGAUAAGUCGGAUGUGAAAGCCCUUGGCUCAACCAAGGAAGUGCAUACGAAACUGUCAGGCUUGAGUAUGGGAGAGGAUUGUGGAAUUCCCGGUGUAGAGGUGAAAUUCGUAGAUAUCGGGAGGAACACCAGUGGCGGAGGCGACAAUCUGGACCAAUACUGACGCUGAGGUGCGAAAGCGUGGGGAGCAAACAGGAUUAGAAACCCCAGUAGUCC
rnacentral:rRNA from 1 species